UACGUAGGGUCCGAGCGUUGUCCGGAAUUACUGGGCGUAAAGAGCUCGUAGGUGGUUUGUCACGUUGUUCGUGAAAACCCACAGCUCAACUGUGGGCGUGCGAGCGAUACGGGCAGACUAGAGUACUGCAGGGGAGACUGGAAUUCCUGGUGUAGCGGUGGAAUGCGCAGAUAUCAGGAGGAACACCAAUAGCGAAGGCAGCUCGCUGGGACGUUACUGACACUGAGGCGCGAAAGCGUGGGGAGCGAACAGG
rnacentral:rRNA from 1 species